GUGGGGAAUAUUGCACAAUGGGCGCAAGCCUGAUGCAGCAACGCCGCGUGAGGGAUGACGGCCUUCGGGUUGUAAACCUCUUUUAGUAGGGAAGAAGCGAAAGUGACGGUACCUGCAGAAAAAGCACCGGCUAACUACGUGCCAGCAGCCGCGGUAAUACGUAGGGUGCAAGCGUUGUCCGGAAUUAUUGGGCGUAAAGAGCUCGUAGGCGGCUUGUCGCGUCUGCUGUGAAAUCCCGGGGCUCAACCCCGGGCCUGCAGUGGGUACGGGCAGGCUAGAGUGCGGUAGGGGAGAUUGGAAUUCCUGGUGUAGCGGUGGAAUGCGCAGAUAUCAGGAGGAACACCGAUGGCGAAGGCAGAUCUCUGGGCCGCUACUGACGCUGAGGAGCGAAAGCAUGGGGAGCAAACAGGAUUAGAAACCCGAGUAGUCC
rnacentral:rRNA from 1 species